AGGAAAAACACCCUCUGCCGCGAGGAACUGGGGCGGCAAGGCUCGGCGAGGCCCGAGAUGACAACACAUGGAGCGAGAAAAUCGAACGGUGUUGGUGACACCCCGGUUCCUUUGACCCAGUUCGUCGGAUUCCCAUUUACCCGAUUCAUUUCACCUGCUAUAGGUUUUCUUAUUUCAUACUCCAAAAGACUAGCGAUCCCCAUCUUUCUGCGACCUCAACCAGCGACAGCGAUAAGGUUCGUGUGACCGUGAUGGAGCAGCGAAGAUUUCUUAACCAAGUAUAUCAGCGACAACAGAGCCUCCUACGAUCAGUCUUUCGUUCUUGUUAGGGCUGUUUCACCUCAAUCGUUCAUAUCCAUUCCAACCUGUGUGAUAUCUUCCUCAGAGAGACCAACGAUUCUUUUUACGGGAAACAUCGACCAGUGAUGACGGUCGAGCAACCUCGAUGGACCAGCGACCAAAACUUCUUGCAGCUUGUUAAUUAUAGAUAGAGUUGAUGUAGGUGAAGAUGUUGAGACUAAGCCUCGGAAGGGCAUGUUCUUUAACUCAGAGAAUGAGGCUUAUGAUUUCUAUAACAGUUAUGGAGAUGGGCUACAAUCCCCUGUUUCAGCUCUUGGUGAUGGGGCAAAGCACGGGCAGAGGCUUGGUGGGGAUUUUCGUUUCGGUGUCAACCCUUAUAGGGCUUUUGGUGGCUGUGAGUCCUAUGAGUCUCACGACUCCACCACUCAUGGUUACUCAGCUAGGGGCUUGAGAGAGUUUAACUUGAACACGGUGCCAAUGAUCCACAGUCCCCUGCUUUUUCAUUUUGGAUGAAUCAGAAAUAGCCUACCCCCAUAUAUUUGGUAUUUUAGUCAAUAAUUUUUAAUCAUUCCUUGAUCUUUUUGGAUUUGUUUGCUAAAUGUAUGUAUUCCCUUUGCCAGUCAAACCUUUGUGAGGUGAGUCUUUAGCUCAAAAUGGAAGAGCAACUGGGAAUUACCCAAGGGGUAUGAUGGUUCGAAUCUAUCAAGAUUCUAAUUACUUGUUUGUGUGUAUGUGGAUGGUAUUAUUGUUGUUGUAUACAUUCUAAGGUUUCUUGGCUGUUUAUAGAGAAGUUAACAAAACUGAGAGGUAGAGUGAAGCCAAUAACUGGACCAGUAGUAGUGAGUGGCUUCCUUCUGCUCCUAGGAAGCUUUCCAUGAAUUAUCAAAACCUUUGAUUGACUCAAUUGAAACUUUUUUUUUUGGUUCAA